AUCAUCAGUGGCGGUUAAUACUAUCUCAAGAUAAUAUUAAUUACUAUAACAUAGAAACCUAGCGGUUCGAUCAUUUGUAUCCUCAUGACAGAGGUUGGGAGUUCUUAGAGAAGUUUUUGAUUCCAUCAUGGCUUUUUCUUCCUUUCAAUCUUUUGUUAGUUAAUACUGGGAUUAUGAAUAAUUGAAACCAUUUCAAUAACCCAUAGCUGAAUGAAUUUUGACUAUCUCCAAACAAGAUCGGGCACAAUUUUCAUUUCGUUUCCGGUUUCUUAGAUUAUCAUCUAUUAUGAUGGGGGCAUUCUUUUUGGGACGUCUAAGGACGAUUUCAGGGAAUGAAGAGCACGUUUACAGAGGAUUGUAUAAUGCGAUCUGAGAGUUUGAAUUCUACUGUGACUCCCUAUUAUGAUAGGACAUUU
rnacentral:snoRNA from 24 species